UACGAAGGGGGCUAGCGUUGCUCGGAAUCACUGGGCGUAAAGCGCACGUAGGCGGAUUGCUAAGUCAGGGGUGAAAUCCUGGAGCUCAACUCCAGAACUGCCCUUGAUACUGGCGGUCUCGAGUCCGGGAGAGGUGAGUGGAACUGCGAGUGUAGAGGUGAAAUUCGUAGAUAUUCGCAAGAACACUAGUGGCGAAGGCGGCCUGCUGGGCAGUAGCUGACACUGAGGCGCGACAGCGUGGGGAGCAAACAGG
rnacentral:rRNA from 1 species